UAAGUUACUCCGGUGGAUCACUCGGUUCGCGGGUCGAUGAAAAAACGCAGUGAAUUGCGAUAUGAAGUACGAAUUACAGAUAUUACGAGUACCAUGUUUUUGAAUGCAUAUUGCGUCGUUGGGCUUUGCUCUUCGACAUAUGUGAUUCAGGGUAUGUUUCU
rnacentral:rRNA from 1 species